UGGGGAAUUUUGCACAAUGGAGGAAACUCUGAUGCAGCGACGCCGCGUGAGUGAUGAAGAUCUUCGGAUUGUAAAACUCUGUCCUUAGUGAAGAUAAUGACAGUAACUAAGAAGCAAGCCCUGGCUAAAUACGUGCCAGCAGCCGCGGUAAUACGUAUGGGGCAAGCGUUGUCCGGAAUUAUUGGGCGUAAAGGGUACGUAGGCGGUUUAAUAAGUCCUAAUUAAAAGGCUAUGGCUCAACCAUAGUAUGGUUAGGAAACUGUUGAACUUGAGUAGAUGAGGGGAAAGUGGAAAUCCAUGUGUGGCGGUGAAAUGCGUAGAUAUAUGGAGGAACACCAAUGGCGAAGGCAACUUUCUGGAAUCAAACUGACGCUGAGGUACGAAGGCGUGGGGAGCAAACAGG
rnacentral:rRNA from 1 species